CAGCCGCCGCGGGAAUACGUAGGGUGCAAGCGUUAAUCGGAAUUACUGGGCGUAAAGCGUGCGCAGGCGGUUAUAUAAGACAGAUGUGAAAUCCCCGGGCUCAACCUGGGAACUGCAUUUGUGACUGUAUAGCUAGAGUACGGCAGAGGGGGAUGGAAUUCCGCGUGUAGCAGUGAAAUGCGUAGAUAUGCGGAGGAACACCGAUGGCGAAGGCAAUCCCCUGGGCCUGUACUGACGCUCAUGCACGAAAGCGUGGGGAGCAAACAGGAUUAGAUACCCCCGUAGUCCCUGUCUUUUAUAA
rnacentral:rRNA from 1 species